AUUGAACGCUGGCGGCAGGCCUAACACAUGCAAGUCGAACGAGUGGCGGACGGGUGAGUAGUGUCUGGGAAACUGCCUGAUGUAGGGGGAUAACUCCUUGAAACGGUAGCUAAUACCGCGUACCAUCGGAUGUGCCCAUAUGGGAUUAGCUCGUAGGUGGGGUAAAGGCUCACCUAGGCGCCGAUCCCUAGCGGGUCUGAGAGUAUGAACAGCCACACUGGAACUGAGACACGGUCCAGACUCCUACGGGAGGCAGCAGUGGGGAAUAUUGCACAAUGGGCGCAAGCCUGAUGCAGCCAUGCCGCGUGUAUGAAGAAGGCCUGCGGGUUGGAAAGUACUUUCAGCGGGGAGGCGUUACCCGCAGAAGAAGCACCGGCUAACUCCGUGCCAGCCGCCGCGGUAAUUC
rnacentral:rRNA from 1 species